CAAAGGAGCACGGGGGGACUCCAAACACCGUCUAUUCCCCUGCGUGAUGGAACUGUGACGAGACGG
rnacentral:snoRNA from 1 species